rnacentral:rRNA from 1 species
UGACCGCCUGGGGAGUACGGCCGCAAGGUUAAAACUCAAAUGAAUUGACGGGGGCCCGCACAAGCGGUGGAGCAUGUGGUUUAAUUCGAUGCAACGCGAAGAACCUUACCAUCCCUUGACAUCCAGUGAAUUUUCCAGAGAUAGAUUAGUGCCUUCGGGAACUCUGAGACAGGUGCUGCAUGGCUGUCGUCAGCUCGUGUUGUGAGAUGUUGGGUUAAGUCCCGCAACGAGCGCAACCCUUAUCCUUAGUUGCCAGCACGUAAAGGUGGGAACUCUGGGGAGACUGCCGGUGAUAAACCGGAGGAAGGUGGGGACGACGUCAAGUCAUCAUGGCCCUUACGGGAUGGGCUACACACGUGCUACAAUGGCGCAUACAAAGGGAAGCCAGCUCGCGAGAGUACGCUGAUCUCAAAAAAUGCGUCGUAGUCCGGAUUGGAGUCUGCAACUCGACUCCAUGAAGUCGGAAUCGCUAGUAAUCGUGGAUCAGAAUGCCACGGUGAAUACGUUCCCGGGCCUUGUACACACCGCCCGUCACACCAUGGGAGUGGGUUGCUACCAGAAGUAGUAUAGUCUAAC